rnacentral:rRNA from 1 species
AUUGAACGCUGGCGGCAGGCCUAACACAUGCAAGUCGAAUGGUAACAGGAAACAGCUUGCUGUUUCGCUGACGAGUGGCGGACGGGUGAGUAAUGUCUGGGAAACUGCCUGAUGGAGGGGGAUAACUACUGGAAACGGUAGCUAAUACCGCAUAACGUCGCAAGACCAAAGAGGGGGACCUUCGGGCCUCUUGCCAUCAGAUGUGCCCAGAUGGGAUUAGCUAGUAGGUGGGGUAACGGCUCACCUAGGCUACGAUCCCUAGCUGGUCUGAGAGGAUGACCAGCCACACUGGAACUGAGACACGGUCCAGACUCCUACGGGAGGCAGCAGUGGGGAAUAUUGCACAAUGGGCGCAAGCCUGAUGCAGCCAUGCCGCGUGUAUGAAGAAGGCCUUCGGGUUGUAAAGUACUUUCAGCGGGGAGGAAGGGAGUAAAGUUAAUACCUUUGCUCAUUGACGUUACCCGCAGAAGAAGCACCGGCUAACUCCGUG